rnacentral:lncRNA from 1 species
CUGGAGAACAACGAGAAGAGUCCUGCUUCAGCUGUGCCAAAGAAUGGGUUCUUUUUCUUAUGGCAGCCACAUGCAGCCACAGCGGUGGUGUUGAAAUGGGAAAGGUUCCCCCGUCCCCCUUGCAGGGCGUGCGAUGGGGUGUGCUCGCCUCUUCAGUGCCCCGUUGGUCAUACCUCUAGUGGGGCAUAGAGAUGGGCAGGUUGUGGGGCUCCAACCCCAUGGCAGUGUCUAAGGGUGGAUGUUUACAGCUGAAGCCCCAGAGGGCGUGUGUUCCAGGGUGCGCUCUUAGUUCACGGUCUAUAGCUCAGUUAGACCCUCUACCUUGUCAUAAGGCCAGAGGGCUUUCUGUAUCCCGGGUUCUUGCCUUGGUGUACCGGAAGAAUCGGAUCACACGUGGGCUUGGAGAAUGACUGCAAAAUCGUAUUGAGUGGAAGUAACUCUCCACCGACAGGAGAGUCAGAAAGGAGAUGGUUUUCCCCCGGAGUUGGGCAGCUCCAGAAGGGAGAUGGCUUUCCCCUGGAGUUGGGCCGCUGGGUGCCCGGGCUGUCCUCCUACUGCCCAGGACAAACUCCACCUCGUCCCACCGGUCGAUGGCCUGCCGGGGAGCCCGCGGGCGAGCCGGCGUCUGUAGGUGUGUUCUUCUGCUGACAUGCUCUCCGUGACCAGCCGCUUCUGUCUUCUUCCACUGAUGCGUUCCUCUCGCCCUCCAGCAGCUUCUGUCUCUGCCUUGCUAGGGUCGUGGGUGUUUAUAGGCCCAGGCUGGGGGCGUGGCGGGCCAGGGUGCUCUUGGAAAAGCAGGAGUGCCUGUCCUCGCCUAGGUCCCUGGGGCUAGAGGCCUAGUCACGGACUCUGCCCUUUCUACCCCGCGCUUUCCUUCCCGGCUUCCGUAUCAUUUAAAGGGACCGUGCUCUUCCUUUCCCAGCACUCCGGCUUGAGUGUUAAAUGGCCAGCAGGAAUUAUCCACUAGAGAAGCGGAAGGGAGAGAAUGGAAAUGGCCGCAUGCAGCUCCUCUCCCUCAGACAGCUCGGGGCUCAGCGGAAUGAGCACAGUCUGCAGGACAAGUGCGGAGGACUUCAGUCCCCUCUACUGUAUAUUGGCUUUAGGACUCAAGUUGUCCCUGAAAUAGAGGAAGGUGUUUUCUAGGGUAGUGGUAAUUAUCACAGUCAAAAAAGUAGGCGAGAGCACUUAGGAAAACUGUGCGGAGAUCGGCUGCUGAUGUGUAAAUACUGCUGAAGCUGCUUAUUCAAGAUUAGAAAACCUGAGACCCAGACGGGGGAAACUGCUUUCCAUGGUUAAUCGUCAACAACUGGCCAGGAUGGGACAGAAGCCCAUACAUAGCCUUCAUUCCAGGGCUCAGAACAAAAAGAAGGCAGUGGCCUGGGCUGCACCUGAGCUUGGCUUCACAUAGGAGGGAUUCUGGAACGCAGGAUCCUGACAACGACCUCAAGGUUAGAAUGAAUGCCAAAGAUGCCUUUUUUGUGUGUGCUUUUCUUUUUUAAAUAAAAUACAAAUUGCUUAUUUCAUCUGUAAAAUGGGGAGUAUCUCACAAACUCACAAUUGUGGUAUGAGGACUGAAAUGAUCACCUGGAGUGGCGAUCCUAACCUCCAACUUUCCCUAAGAAAGAAUUCCAUUUUGUGCAUAAAAAUUCAUGCUUGUAACUAGUGUGUUUAUCCAAAAUGAG